GGCGCCUUCGUCUAAAGGUCAGGAUGCCGCCCUCUCACGGCGGAGAUGCCGGGUUCGAGCCCCGCAGGCGCUACCA
rnacentral:tRNA from 1 species